GUGGGCAGAAAGACCGAAACCCACUCACGGCCGCCUGCCGAAUCGCGGCUCUGCUGUUUGUGGGGCGUGCUAGAAACGUGGUCCUAAAAAGAAUGGCGUCCAUUUACAUAAUGCUUUGUUUGCGUUUCGCAAGUUUCUUUCGGUUAAAGCCACAGAAACCCCACCUCCUGCCCUUGUGUCGUUUCCACCGCGGCACCCUUUUCCGACAUUAGAAACAAUAGUGUACGCCUGUGGAGGCCUCGUUUGUUCAGGGGCUGCCGGCCAGGGCUUCAGGACGUUUCUGCGGCUUUCCCCGCGCGGCCUGGGCUCCCGCGGCUGCUUUUCGGGCCCAUGGGCGCAGCCACUGCGCCAGGCUCAAGGGGGGCGGCCCCGUCAGGGCCCGCCAUCUUGGAAGGCCUUUUUUGCCGGUUCUUCCCGCUGAGGAAGUGUCGCUCAAGACGCUGGCCUAUGAGUUGUGAUUUCUGCCUUUUCCCCUUCCUCCUUGGGCUAAGCCAGACCAGAAAGGGCCCCGUGCGCAACGUGCUUCACAAUCUCUCAGGGAAAGCGGCUAACGUGGCGCUACUCCGCCUCCCCUGUUCCUUACCCUUGGGGCGGCCGCCAUGUUUCCUGAACACAAAAUGGCGACACGUGGUUAGCAUUCGUCGCCAACGAGAAAUUGGGGUCGGCCCGAAAGCUCUAGAAUGCACCCCUCUUCCUCCCCGGGGCCUUCCACCUCCGCGAGUUUUAUGACUUAAAAAAGCCCACAGGCUGGUCUGAAGAGGAAGACAAACAUAAAGAUGAAGUGCUUAAUUCAAGGUCACACAAUGUCGGGGAUGGACCUCCAGAUUUCCUUACUGACCUGCAUUAUCUUGUGGAUACCUGAGUGAAUUCCACACCACCCAUUUUAUAGAUGAAACCACUGAGACAUGGAGCAAUUGACUGAGUAGUCACUGCCCCACCCCUGCCUGGAGCCUCACACAUGACUCGCCUCCUCUCAGUGACCACAGGAAAACAAGCUCAGGGCUCCCACUGAUUGUACAUUAUGAGACGGAGUCUUGCUAUGUUGCCCAGGCUGGUCUUGAACUCCUCACCUCAAGCGAUCCUCCCGUCUUGGCCUCCCAAGUGUCAGGAUUACGGGCAUGUGCUAUCACACCCAACCUGAUACAUUGCCUUUAUAAAUUUUUUUUUCUUUAUUCUAAAAACCAGAAAAAACAAAACUGGAUACAUGUGCAGAACAUGCAGACCAAGUGUGUUGGGGACUUGAGAUGCGUACAUGAGUGUGAUGUUUCCUGCUGAAAGCACAGGUGAGACGUGGUCUUGUAACACAGUGGUUAAGAAUGUGACUUUGGAGCCAGCCUGCUAGGGGCUGAAUUCUGACUCAGCCAUUUACUAACUGUGUGACCUUAGGGAGGAGGACCUGGUUGAUAGAAGAAUUUAUCUCGUAGUCUUAACAUCCACUGUAAUUCCAAACUUUGAGGACGAUAGAGAUCAGUGGGCUUUGACUGCCCAGCAUGCAGUCUCCAUUCUUAGGUGGGUUCCCAAGCCUGUAAAAUGUAAGCCUUAUGCUGCUGAGGGCCAUCUUGCCACCCUGAGGGAAACGCUGCCUGAGAAUGAAACAAGCAUAAGUAAAAGCUGAGCUGUGAGAUGGAGCAAGAUGAAGGCCACAUGACAUCUUUGGAGCACCUGGAUCUAACUGUGCCUUAAGCUAGUCUAACCCUGAACAUUUCAUCAUUUCAUUGACAUGAGCCCAGGUUUUCUUUUUUUUUGGAUGGAGUCUUGCUCUGUCGCCCAGGCUGGAGUGCAGUAGCUCAAUCUCGGCUCACUGCAAGCUCCACCUCCCGGGUUCACGCCAUUCUCCUGCCUUAGCCUCCCAAGUAGCUGGGACAACAGGCGCCCACCACCACUCCCAGCUAAUUUUUUGUAUUUUUAGUAGAGACGGGGUUUUACCAUGUUAGCCGGGAUGGUCUUGAUCUCCUGACCUCAUGAUCCGCCCGCCUCGGCCUCCCAAAGUGCUGGGAUUACAGGUGUGAGCCACUGCACCCAGCCCUCAGGUUUUCCCUUUUUUUACCCCUCCUUUUGAAAAUUUGAUGUGGAAUUUUGCCACCUGCAGCCAGAAGAGUUUUAACUAAUCAGUGCCAUAAAUUUUAUAUAGUUCUCCUUGCAAAAUGUGGAUCAGCCUUUCUCAGCAAAUCCUUUGUCAUAAAGUGCUGAAUUGUAAGUUUGUCAUGAGAAUCACAUGAGAUCAUGCAUGUGAAGAACCUGGCAUUAUCCUCCUCAUAGAAAAAAACCAGUAAAUAUUAACUACAGGAAGCAAGGAAGGAGUGGGGUGAGGGGAAGAAGAAGGGGUACUGAUUUAAAAGAACCCUGGAGUCCUAAGGAUAAUCUAGGAACCCUCAGACCCAAUCCGAUACCCCUAUUCUAAAUGCUCCUAGUGCCCUGUACCUUCCCCUCAUAAGCCUUCAUUAUCAUUGUAAUGAUAUGUUUAUGUAAUAUUUUGAUUAAUGUCUCUCCUUCACUGACCUAGCAGUUCUAGCAGGGCAGUGAUUUUGCUGUGUUGCAUCCCCAGCACCUAGUCUGGUAUGUGGCAUUCAGCAUAUGUUUAUUGAAUGAAUGGCCAUGUGGUUAUUCAGAUCCUCCUUGAUUAUUGGGGUUAGGAUUGUGGCAGAAGUGGCAAAAUCAGGGAGAGUAGUCCCUGUCCCCUCUGUAUCUUAUACACUGCCCACACUCCCAACACACAUACACAUACAGAGAAUUUUGUCUCAAUUAGAUAAUUAACUUCUGCUUGGUUGUAAACCAAACCACUGGUUCUUAAACUUUCAUUGGAUCAUUUUAUUGAAGAAUUAAAUAGUGUGGUUCUGGCCUAAUGUCUGGAAAGCCUUGCAGAGGAGUGGAUUAGGUCUUUGUGAUAAACAGGCAGCCUUCCCUGCUCCUGUGUCUUUAUAAAAUCUAUUUAACUGGAGUAGUCCACCCUCCCUCAGGCUCUUACAGGAAUAUGUUGGAGGCUGUAGGAAGGUGGGAAACCGAGAGGGAAAGGACUGGGCCGCUGGAGACUUCACUCAUUCCCUAGCAAGAAACAAAAGCAGUAAAAGGUGGCCCGAGGACAACCUGAAGCUCACUCCUUCAGCACUUUUGGCUGGAGGUCACUUGUUGGAGCCCCACUCAGAGCUCAGCACACCACCCCACCAGCAGCCUCCUCCUCCCAGCUGAGGCUGCAUUUCAUCCCUUCCCCCAGCCUGCUUUCCCUGAGAUAGGGGAGUGUUUCCCAGGGCCCAUGUGACUUCCACUGGCAAGUGACGAUUACCAAUGGUUUACUAGUCAGUGAAACUACCAAAGGCUUUUGUGCUGUAGUAAUCCUUUUCCUGUUUAAAACUCUGGGGAUUUUCUAAUGUUGCCAAUAGUUUUUCAAGUCAGCAAUUACUGUGUGGAUUAUGUAAUGGCUCGGUAUUAAAAAUAGAAAAGACUGGAGUUUGCAUCUAUUUUAACCAAAUCUUGAAAACAGAGCAAAGGGAGGGGAAGGGUGGAGAGGGAGAGACCAGAGGAGGAGGGAGAAAAAGAGAUCAUGUGACUGGAUAAGACAGCUCACAAUUCACUGUGCCUUUCUCCCACCAUUUGUGGCCCAAGGACCUGUACUCCCUCCUCAGCCUCCUCUAGGGAGGGGUCCUUGAUGAGAAUUCUGAGGACACAAGACCCCUUGUGGAUAUUUCUUAGCUCAGCCUUGGUGUGCUUACCUGCUUCUGACAAGCAAAGUGGCCAAGUAGGGGAGGGAGUUGAAUCUGAUGUCCUCCACUAAGUCCAG
rnacentral:lncRNA from 1 species